rnacentral:rRNA from 1 species
UCCGUAGGUGAACCUGCGGAAGGAUCAUUACCUUUCAAUGCAGAAGAGUUGGGAUGGUUGAGUAUCUCGCCUCCCAAUUCUCGCUGUAUGUUACCCUUGUUUUUCUCAUACUAUUAUUUCCUCGGCAGGCUCGCCUGCCGGGUGAAACAACUUCAAACCUGUUUAAUUUUCAAUCAGCGUCUGAACAAAUUAAUAAUUACAACUUUCAACAACGGAUCUCUUGGUUCUGGCAUCGAUGAAGAACGCAGCGAAAUGCGAUAAGUAGUGUGAAUUGCAGAAUUCAGCGAAUCAUCGAAUCUUUGAACGCACAUUGCGCCCCUUGGUAUUCCAUGGGGCAUGCCUGUUCGAGCGUCAUUUGUACCUUCAAGCUCUGCUUGGUGUUGGGUGUUUGUCCUUGCUCUAGUGGCGGGACUCGCCUUAAAGUAAUUGGCAGCCAGUGUUUUGGUUUUGAAGCGCAGCACAAGUCGCGAUUCAAGUCUAUACGCUAGUUUCCACAAGUCUUUUAUCACUUUUGACCUCGGAUCAGG